rnacentral:rRNA from 1 species
GACAGAGGGUGCAAACGUUGUUCGGAAUUACUGGGCGUAAAGCGCGUGUAGGCGGCUAAGUAAGUCGGGCGUGAAAUCCCACGGCUCAACCGUGGAAGUGCACUCGAAACUGCAUAGCUAGAGUCCUGGAGAGGAAGGUGGAAUGCUUGGUGUAGCAGUGAAAUGCGUGAGAUAGUCGAAGAGGAACAGCCAGUGGCGAAGGC